rnacentral:rRNA from 1 species
GAGUUUGAUCAUGGCUCAGAUUGAACGCUGGCGGCAGGCUUAACACAUGCAAGUCGAACGGUAACAGGAGAAAGCUUGCUUUCUUGCUGACGAGUGGCGGACGGGUGAGUAAUGCUUGGGAAUCUAGCUUAUGGAGGGGGAUAACGACGGGAAACUGUCGCUAAUACCGCGUAGUAUCGAGAGAUGAAAGUGCGGGACCGCAAGGCCGCAUGCCAUAGGAUGAGCCCAAGUGGGAUUAGGUAGUUGGUGGGGUAAAGGCCUACCAAGCCGACGAUCUCUAGCUGGUCUGAGAGGAUGACCAGCCACACCGGGACUGAGACACGGCCCGGACUCCUACGGGAGGCAGCAGUGGGGAAUAUUGCGCAAUGGGGGCAACCCUGACGCAGCCAUGCCGCGUGAAUGAAGAAGGCCUUCGGGUUGUAAAGUUCUUUCGGUGACGAGGAAGGCGUGAUGUUUAAUAGGCAUCACGAUUGACGUAAUCACAGAAGAGCACCGCA